rnacentral:tRNA from 1 species
CGUUAGCUCAAUGGUUAGAGCAGGGGACUCAUAAUCCCUUGGUCGCAGGUUCGAAUCCUGCACGGC